rnacentral:piRNA from 1 species
UGAAUGAAUUAGGAAGCCACAGUCUACACU